GGAAUAGUGUGUGUGAGGCUGGGGAGAGAGGGGUGGGAAGAGAGGGAGGGAGGAGAAAGGACGGAAACAUGAAUAUAUUGUCUUCAUUGGGAGCUUAAGUGAGCUGAAUGCCAGGGCCAGGAGCAGGGGAGCCUUCAUGGACAGAGAGAGAAAGAGAGCAAGCAUGCACAAGCGAGGGGAGUGACAGGCAGAGUCCUGGCGUCAUGACCUGAGCUGAAGGGCGAUGCUUCACUCCUUAACUACCCCCCAGAUCUCCCUGUGCUCCAUUCUACAAACUGUAGCAGACUUGUUAACCUCAGAAUCUCAGCUCCAGAAAUCCACCAUGCUCAGUCUUGAGUUUUCCUCUGUACCAUGGCUGGGAAAUCCUUUUAAAGCAAUAAGCUAGGCAAUUGUAGGGUCCAUCUCAAUUGUUUUCCAUUUCUCAGGGGUUACUGCCCUUCUUUGCCUGAUGUCCAGUAUCUUGAAAAUUAUUGUAUCAUAUAUUUUAUCAAUGUUUUAGAUUUUUCAGGCAGAAGGAUAAAUCUGGACCCUGCUAUUUCACAUUAGCCAAAAUCUGAAGCUUGAGUGUGGCGUCUGUUACUUCUGGGAUUAUGCUGGAGGCAGCCUUUUGGCAACUAUCCUUCCUCUCAUUAUUAACAAAUGGGAACCAUUUUUAAAA